rnacentral:misc_RNA from 1 species
UCCGGCUUGCCACCGGCAGUCUCGCCAGAGCGUGCAACUGGCGACGGGGGUUGCGCUCGUUGCGGGACUUAACCCAACACCUCACGGCACGAGCUGACGACAGCCGUGCAGCACCUGUGCCAUUCGCCCUCGCGGGCCGCCGCCUUUCGGCGGCUGAACAUGGCAUGUCAAGCCCUGGUAAGGUUCUUCGCGUCGCGUCGAAUUAAACCACACGCUCCGCUGCUUGUGCGGGCCCCCGUCAAUUCCUUUGAGUUUUAGCCUUGCGGCCGUACUCCCCAGGCGGGCCACUUACCGCGUUAGCUCCGGCGCGGGGGGGGUCGAUACCCCCCACACCUAGUGGCCAUCGUUUACGGCGCGGACUAC